rnacentral:rRNA from 1 species
UACGUAUGGUGCAAGCGUUAUCCGGAUUUACUGGGUGUAAAGGGUGCGUAGGUGGUUGCGCAAGUCAGAAGUGAAAACUAUGGGCUCAACCCAUAGACUGCUUUUGAAACUGCGUAACUAGAGUGCAGGAGAGGAAAGUGGAAUUCCUAGUGUAGCGGUGAAAUGCGUAGAUAUUAGGAGGAACACCAGUGGCGAAGGCGGCUUUCUGGACUGCAACUGACACUGAGGCACGAAAGCGUGGGGAG